GGAUAGCUCAGUUAGUUAAAGCAUGGUGCUGAUAGCGGCAGGUUUACAAGUUCGAUCCCUGUCUGGGACA